rnacentral:rRNA from 1 species
UACAGAGGGUGCAAGCGUUAAUCGGAAUUACUGGGCGUAAAGGGCGCGUAGGCGGCCCGCUAAGUCGAACGUGAAAUCCCCAGGCUUAACCUGGGAACUGCGUCCGAUACUGGCAGGCUUGAAUCCGGGAGAGGGUAGUGGAAUUCCCGGUGUAGUGGUGAAAUGCGUAGAUAUCGGGAGGAACACCAGUGGCGAAGGCGACUACCUGGCCUGUUCUUGACGCUGAGGCGCGAAAGCUAGGGGAGCAAACGGG